UAAUAAGCGUUUAUGGCACUUCUUAAAUCCAUAUCCACCUUGUGUGCAAUGUCAGCCGUUUUCUUUAUGAAAGCGGCCAAACAUCAACUUAUUUUUUAACUGUCUGUCUGAAAACUAUUAUGAAUAAACAAUUCAAAUA
rnacentral:misc_RNA from 1 species